rnacentral:rRNA from 1 species
GACGAACGCUGGCGGCGUGCUUAACACAUGCAAGUCGAACGAAGUGGCGAACGGGUGAGUAACGCGUAAUCAACCUGCCCUUCAGCGGGGGACAACAGGUGGAAACGACUGCUCAUACCGCAUACUGAAGGAGGGGCGUGCGUGUGAUUCGCUGGUUGGAGGGGUAACGGCCCACCAAGGCGAAGGUCAGUAGCCGGUCUGAGUGGAUGAACGGCCACAUUGGGACUGAGUCACGGUCCAGACUCCGACGGGAUGCAGCAAGUGGGAAUCUUCCGCAAUGGACGAAAGGCUGACGGAGCAACGCCGCGGGAGUGAUGACGGCCUUCGGGUUGUAAAGCUCUGUUUAUCGGGAAGCGGUACCGGAAUAGAAAGCCACGGCUAACUACGUGCCAGCAGCCGCGGUAAUUC